AAAAAAAUAAAGACAAUGAAGGGAACAUUUUGUCUUAUAAAUUGAGUAACAGCGUUCUCUGGCAACUUGUUAAUGUCAGAGAUGAUCUCUACAAAAGUGAAGAUAAGCUUGAUUGCACCUAAAACGAAUAUUUUUUCCUAUCAAAUGGGAAUACAAAUUUAGGUUGUUCUGGGCAAACUUUCUUGAGUUUAAAAAGAGGGAAGCUGAGGCAAUAUUUAUUUACAGACUCCAAGUUGGAAGGAACUAAACAAUCCUGCCAGUUGCUCUAGAGGUGACAGGCACUUGCCUUUUCUCACUUUUCUUUUUCCCUUCUUCCCUCUCUCCUGUCUCUCCUUCAUUCCUUCUUUCCUUCAUCAGCCAGGCUGACUGAGCUUAAAUCCUAGUCCUACCACGUUCUAGCUGUGAAGUCUUGAGCAGCUUACUCAACCUCCAUGUACCUGUUGCCUCAUCUAUAAAACAUGAACAGAUGGUUUUCUAUCUAGGGUUAUUAUGAGUGAGUUCACAUAUGUAAAGUACUUAGGAUCUGGCACAUAGUCAGUGUUGGGUAGGAACACGUUUUCCCCAUUCCUGAUGUUUCCUUCCACAUGGAAGGACUUCUUCAUUCAUUAUUUGAUCUAAAUCUUCAUUGACAAAUCACAGUAUCACACAUGGGCUCAUGAAUUUUGUAAUAUAUUUUUAAGUCAAAUUGUUUAUGUAGACAGGAACCCAACAAAAAUAUUUGCCCAGGACCUUGCGCGCCCUAGAAGUGGCUCUGGAGAAAAGCAUUUGCCUACAGAAAUAAACCAUUUCCUUCCUCAGCCUAUAUCAGUAACAAAGGUGCAGCUUUGGCCACUAUCUGCCACUCCUUUCUCUUAUUCCUCUGUUUGUUUAGAAGCGGAUCAGGAAAGAGGGACACCAUUUCCUCAGAUCCCUCAAAGUCCCCAAAAAAGAACUCAAUAAGCAUUAGCUGUUAUCAUUUUUCAAGCUUUCAGGUUGUGUUUUAUUUUCCGUUUUUCUCCUUUCCUUUCAUUCCAAAAAGCCUCCUUUCUUUAAUUCUAUAAGCUCUUCUUUGGUCCCUGAGAGAUUCUUGUUUGUUUAUUUUUGUUUGUUUUUUUACAAUUAUUCCAGAGAUCUGGACAAUCUCUAGCACAGAAAAAAAAAAUUCCCUUCCUUCUUAGCAUCCUUCAGUAGUUGGACUCGGUGAAAAUUCCACUGCCCCCAGCCCUUUGCAGCACUGCUCUCAAGGCCAGUAGGCUGUACCUGGGCCCUGACUUGAGAGGAAGAUCACAAGAGAAGAGCAUUCAGUGGGUUAAAAAAAACAGAUCCGAAGGAUGAAGGGAAUCUACCUUCAGAUUGGAACCGAAGGUCAAAGGUUCUAGGAAUGAAGGUAUUCAACAUGGCAACGCUGGAAGCAAAGUAAACGUUCAACAGCUGGAUGAUGAUAAAGUAAGUGACCUUGAAACCAAUAGGACAACAUGGAGCUCAUUACGAUUAUGUUUAGGGAGACCAGGAGGAGACAUGGAAUAGGGCUUAUGUGCAAUAAAACAGAGAGGAAAGGAGGAGGCAAUUUAUAAAUGCAUGUCCUCUGAUUGUGUAAAAUUAGGCAUCUGUUAAAAAGACGGGAAUGAGGUAAUAAUAGAGUUAACAUGUUAGAGUAAUUGGAUAAUAGUAUUAGUUGUUUCUUUUCUCUAACUGAAUAUAAUAUAUUACUUUUAUAAUUUAGUAAAUUUGUUCUUUUCAAAGGAGGUACACCCAUGCCUUUCUCCUGGCUAUCUGCAGCUCAACAAUGAGGGACUUGGGCUCCCCAGGCCUCCAUCACACUAAACAGUCCUGGCCGACUAUGAUACCCUUCCUCUUUUCUCCCUAAUUUGUUGUCUAUUACAGUUUGCUCCGUGGACGUGUGAAGCAAUCUCUGGGGGUGGAGCUGAGGAAUCUGCAUUAUUAACAGUUUCCUGGGAGAUUCUUACACACACUAAAGUUUGGACAAAGAUUGCUUAUUUUUUCUGCCAAAAAUCUUAACCACACAGGGACUUGCACGAUCUAUGUUAUUUCUUGAAGCAAAGUUAAUCCACCGAUAUUAUGCCUUGUGUGUAUGUGUUUUAAGUGCCCAGUGAACACAGUUCCAUUUAUCCUCAAAUAUUUUUGUGUAGAAAUUUUCGAUUAUAAUUUAUUCAUGGUUUUUGCUUAGAAAGCCACCUUAUAAGCAAGGUAUCCUGUCAUAGGAUCACUACUUUCUUUCCCUCUGUUUUGAGUCCUGCCAUAAUUAGGGCUGAGUGACUUUUCGGGACACACUUUACUUUGUUUCUUUGAUCACAACAGAGAACACAGGACUCUCGGGUCCUGAGGCUGGCUGAAGGGUUUCAGUUUUCCUUAAUUGUCUAUCAUUAUAGGACCUGGAAAUACCCACUCAUGAUCCCACUGCUUCCAGCCCUCAAACUAAGAAUGGAGUCUCUAGUCGUGCACAUUCCUGGGCCUCAGGGCUCACAAGGCAGUGAGGCUGAGGUGGGGCGGCCUGUCUGCGUCUGCGUCCCAGCAGAGCCUCACAGGUCCUCGCUGGCACUGCAGGAAGGAGGCCCCUCUGAGGCGAGGAGUGUUCUGACCUACAAGGCUGUCCAAUCUUUUGGCUUCCCUGGGCAACAUUGGAAGGAGGAAAAUUGUCUUAGGCCACACAUAAAAUACACUAAUGAUAGCUGAUGAGCUUUAAAAAAAAAUGCAAACAAAUUUCAUAAUGUUUCAAGAAAAUUUAUGAAUUUGUGUUGGGCCACAUUCAAAGCUAUCCUGGGCUGCAUGCAGCCUGUGGGCCAUGGGUUGGAGAAUCUUGCUUUAUGAUUUUACUCAAGACAGAAACUAAGUGCUAACAUUUCCCCCAAUCACAAUUCUAUUUUACCUUUUUAAAAACUCUAAAGGGCAAGAAUUUUGCUAAUCUUUUCUAGAAAUAUAAAAACAAGCAAAUAUGUUUUCUAAAACAAACCAAGGCUUUUCUCCUGGGGAAUUUGCAGGCAUAGCACGAACUCCUUCCUCACUGCUAUUUCUUGAGAGGGGCUGUUAGGCUGUGCUGUGCUCUGCUUAAGGACGAGAGGCCAGGUACACAGCCUGAGAGGCCAGUCAUUGUGCCAUGUUGUUGUCAGGAGUUCCCAGUGUCCAUCUUGAUAAGGCUUUGCUAAAACAUACUAAUACAAACUUCCAUUACCUCCUGUGUUUCUAAAUAAACAUACCAAGUUAUUUUAAGACUCAUGUUUUCCUUUAUAAUCAUUUGAAAUUUCUGCCUAGUGUGAAACAACCAUCUAGAUUCUCACAGAAUUCAUGAAUAAUACUGAAAUCCACUCUCCUAAACAGCAGCAGUUUCAAGUAAGUCGUGCAGUAAACACAAUGUCCAAAUUUAUUUUUAAAGCUUUGAAGAUAAAUGAUGAAGCCUCCUAUGAGAUUAUCUUUUAUGUAGCGGGGAUCUGCCCCUUUAAACACAUAAAUACCACUUAAUCCACUGCCCUCAACAGAGGAAAUGACCACUGGCCUGGAGGCCUCCAAAAUUCCUUCUCUUUUUCUUUCUUUCAAGUCAAAGGUCAUGGUUCAUUUCGAGUUCCAAUGCUAUUUUCUAAAUUUUGUUUUAAUCCAGAUCUCAUGACUUAUUUCUCAUUCUCUUUCCUUCCUGAACAAUUCAGUGCUAAAACCAUUAGGUAGGGCAGAGCGAAGACUGUAUGGGCGCCAGGGUGAAGGAAACCACAGUGGCACAGAGUGCAGUGCCUGCAUCAGGACAGGGUCAGGAGGCAGUCCUGCAGAGGGGCAGCUCAGCAUGGUGUGUUCAAGUCCUACAGAGUAUUGGAGCCCAAAGGAGAAAAGUAACUUUACAAUGGGAAUGGCUGGCAGACAUCACCUGACUCAAGUGUCAAAGUGAAGAAACAUCAUCAAUGAUGUUUCCAUUAAAUGGAAAUCCUGUGCCACCUGACAAGAGGCAUUUAGGACUUCUGUGAUAUUCCCUCUAAAGAUGCAUCACCUGAAUCUGACUAUGAAGAAACAUCAGAAAAACUCAAAUUGAGGAACACUCUGCAAGUUCCCUCAAAACCCUGGCAAUGGCAACUAAAAAGAUGGCUUUUGUGAGAAGAGCGAUUGGUGUCCACACCUGCUGGUGCUGAGCACAAGACAAUGCACAUGUGUUCUCUUGAAGGAAGAAACUUUAGAAACGUCAUCUUCAAGGUGUCAAUGACUUGUCUACUAUAGCUGCUGCCUCAGCGUCCACUUUUAGACCCGGCAUCAGCUGUGUGAAACCCAGUCGCACCCUGCCACCUUUGGUCUAGGUGUGACUUCUCUUCCUUAGAGGGGCAUGAUAGAGCUCGUGUGUUUCUUUUCUUUUUUUUCUUUUUGUUUUUGAGAUGGAGUCUUGUUCUGUCACCCAGGCUGGAGUGCAGUGGCACCAUCUUGGCUCACUGUAACCUCUGCCUCCCAGUUCAAGCAAUUCUCCUGCCUCAGCCUCCCAAGUAGCUGGGACUACAGGCAUGAACCACCACGCCUAGCUAAUUUUUGUAUUUUUAGCAGAGAUGGGGUUUUACCAUGUUGGCCAGGCUGGUCUCAAACUCCUGACCUCAAGUGAUCCACUUGCCUCAGCCUCCCAAAGUGCUGGGAUUACAGGCAUGAACCACCAUGCCUGGAGGAGCCCAUGUGUUUCUCAUCUCACCAACCCAAAGCCCAACUCACUCCACAGCUGCUGACCAUGAGGAAACCUAAGGUCAACACCGGAGUCAGGCAAAUAAGCCACCCCCCCACCCCCACCCGCAUACACACUUGUUUUAUUUAAACUGGCCAAUCCACAACUGCCAGAGGAAAGCCCGUGGGCCUUCAUGGAGGCCUAGUCUCAAGCCCUCACUCUCCCUUCCCACCUGCCGGUCGAGUGCCCUGCUGUCUCUGGACUUCCCAUCGGCCCUCAGGGACGUAAGUCUGCCUAGAGGAGAGUUGACACACCAAAAACAAAACUUCUGUUUCAAAAAUCCAGUCCCUGAAGGCAAUCGGGAAAAAGUGUGAAGAACAAGGGCAGAGCUUCCCAACUUUGAGCCUGAGUGGUGAAAGGAAGCAAGAAGAAAAGGGGUUUGUGGGUGCUCGGAGGAGCCCCACAACUAUACCCCCAUCCUCUCCAAGAUCCACCAGAACAGAUACCUACAUAAACUAGAGGCAUUUGAGAACGAAGGCCUCUUGCCCCCGAGGCAGCAGUAGCAGACUUGUAUGGCCCACAUGUAUUAGUCUGUUCUCACACUAUUAAGACAUACCUAAGACUGGGUAAUUUAUAAAGGAAAGAAGUUGAAUUGACUCACAGUUCAGAAUGGCUUGGGAGGCCUCAGGAAAGUUACAUCAUGGUGGAAGUGGAAGCAAACAGGUCUUUCUUCACACGGUGGCAGCAAGAAGUGCCAAGCAAAAGGAGGAAAAGCCCCUUAUAAAACCAUCAGAUCUCAUGAGAACUCACUAUCACGAGAACAGCAUGAGGGUAAAUGCUCCCAUGAUUACAUUACCUCCCACCAGCUCCUUCCCACCACAUGUAGGGAUUAUAGGAACUAUAAUUCAAUAUAAGAUUUGGGGUGGGGACACAGCCAAACCAUAUCAGAGGAUGAGCUAGGGGUGCACAGGGGGAGUAGGCUGUGAAGGACAUGUAGUACCCACAUCUCUAGGCCUGCAGGUGCCUUUCCGACAGGAACAAGAGGAACGUGGUAACAUUCCAGUGUGGCCUGGCCAGCAGGCACAGCCAGGUAAUGUAUGGCGCAGCAGGCACCAAUGUGGCAGGGGAGGGCCACGUGCUCCUGUGUCUACCCCAACACAAAGGUGCUUCUCCAUAACCACUCCUACCCGCCUCCCCCAAAACUGGCUGAGUUUAAGUUUCUGCAAACUGGCAAAAUGAGGGCUUGAAAUAAAAAUUGUCUGUGGACUAAAUUUUAUACACGCU
rnacentral:lncRNA from 10 species